UACGGAGGGUGCAAGCGUUAAUCGGAAUUACUGGGCGUAAAGGGUGCGUAGGCGGUAAAGUAAGUUAUCUGUGAAAUCCCUGGGCUUAACCUGGGUAGGAAAGAUGAUACUGCUUAACUAGAGUGUGAUAGAGGAUAGUGGAAUUUCCGGUGUAGCGGUGAAAUGCGUAGAGAUCGGAAGGAACACCAGUGGCGAAGGCGGCUAUCUGGAUCAACACUGACGCUGAGGCACGAAAGCGUGGGGAGCAAACAGG
rnacentral:rRNA from 1 species